AGCGAUGAAGGCCUUCGGGUUGUAAAGCUCUGUGGGGAGGGAAGAAUAAGCCUAGGCUAAUACCACUAGGUGAUGACGGUACCUCCUUAGCAAGCACCGGCUAACUCUGUGCCAGCAGCCGCGGUAAGACAGAGGGUGCAAACGUUGUUCGGAAUUACUGGGCGUAAAGCGCGUGUAGGCGGCUAUGCAAGUCGGGCGUGAAAUCCCACGGCUCAACCGUGGAAGUGCACUCGAAACUGCGUAGCUAGAGUCCCGGAGAGGAAGGUGGAAUACUUGGUGUAGAGGUGAAAUUCGUAGAUAUCAAGUGGAACACCGGUGGCGAAGGCGGCCUUCUGGACGGUGACUGACGCUGAGACGCGAAAGCGUGGGGAGCAAACAGGAUUAGAUACCCUGGUAGUCCACGCCGUAAACGAUGAGUGCUAGGUGUCACGGGCUUUGACCCUCGUGGUGCCGAAGCUAACGCGUUAAGCACUCCGCCUGGGGAGUACGGCCGCAAGGCUA
rnacentral:rRNA from 1 species